GGUGGCUCACUUAUGGUUUCAGAGGUUUAGUCCACGAUCAUCAUGGCGGGAGCAUGGCAACAGCCAGCAGAGGGCAGCACGUCCCAGAAGUUGAAGGAGAGGCCCCUUUGGAAGAGAUCUAAUACACACUAACUUGAGCUUGCGUUCCACGGGAUUCUGGGAUGAAGGAGAAGAAAGGCAAGAAGGCACAGUUCUGCCCAACCCCCACUGCCGAGAGCCUGCGAACCAUCGACAGGCAGGGGCAUCGAGAGCCCGGAGGUCAUCGGGCACUCGGGAGCCAUGGAGAUGAAGUCAUCCGCGUGUAUGGAUUCUGAAUGCAACGCCAGGAGAUGAAGACAAGUGAGGGCAGAAGGUUAGGCAUAUCGUCACUGAGAUGUAGGACUGGUGUGGACCGCAUGGCGAUCAUCGCUGCUUGAUAAAGUUCCAGCAUUUCGACGUUCGGGUCACACUUCUCCAGCAGCCUUUUCCUUUUCUUUUUAAUGAUUCCCACUAUGUGUUGUGGGAGUUCCCUUAUGCCUUUUCCUGUGGGAAAUUUUGUGUGGGCUUUGAAGGGUGAAAAUGUAUAAUAUAGCAGCCCCUUUCAGUAAUAUAUAUAAUUCUUGGAGAAAAAACUCCCUGCCACCGUGGAACCAUAUGGUGUGAUGACUUGCACACAGGAAUCCCAUUGUGCCCUCCUGAUUACAUCAAGAACAGGAAUGUUAGAGUUUUACUAGACACACCUGAUCCCAGGGAUGAAACGCCUACAAUCCAGUUCCAGAGCCUGAAGCCAUUAAGGGCAAGAGUUCAGUUAAUAAGCAUAGAGAAAUCAGAAUGGUAUGGUAUAAUGGGAAAAGAAUAAGACAUCAGGACCUUCUGCUUUGGUGGCGUAUGUGGGGAACAGGCCCAUGUACCAAGACUAAGACACAAAGGGAUGCGAUUAUGGAACAGCUCAGUGCUUAUGCUGUAUCUGCCCCCUGAGGAAUGAAAAUGGCUUUAAAUUGUAGUGGUGUGUCUGGUCCCCAGAGGAAGUCCUUUUCCCAAGGUCAGGCACUCAGAUAAGGGUCCCCAUGCCCUCAGGGGCUUGAGGAAAAUUCCUGCUUGCUAAAAGCAGUCAUUUUCCUUAUCUCUGGCAGGAGGAACAUGUGGUCCUUCCAUUGAUGUAAAGAGGGCCUUGGUGGAGCUACUGAAUCUUUGGGAACAAUAGGCAUUUAGAUACUUGCUGAACUUAACUUUCGUCUCAGGAAAAAUGCUGUAAUAAAGUUAAUGGCUGCUUUCAUCCUUGAAUCAUUGAACCCACUUUCAAUCUUGUCUGUGACUAAACUAUUGAGCAUAAAAGGUUUGGCCUUUUUUUCAAUAGAGGGGCAGCCAUCCUGAUUCACCCUCAGAUCAUGUCAGUGUCCUCCUCCUCUUUCCAGACUCCACACCUCUUCUUUGGGGCCUGACCCCCACUGGAGCUGGACUCCAGCAUAGAUUCAAAGAGUAGGAGGCCCGUGAGAGCUAAGAGAAGGUAGAGCUGAGACAAGAGGCUGCCUGUGGGUUGGGAUGCGGCUGAGUUCGCAGAGUACCUCCCUAGCAUGCACGAGACCCCAGGUUCAAGCCUCAGAACGGCCAGUACUGCAAUCU